AAGAAAGUAGAUAAGAGCGUUUGGCGAAUGCCUUGGCUCUCAGAGGCGAUGAAGGACGUGAUAAGCUGCGAUAUGCUUCGGUGAGGUGCAAAUAACCUUUGAUCCGGAGAUUUCCGAAUGGGGAAACCCAGUACCAUGAAGUGGUAUUAUCCUAACUUGUUAGGAAGCUAACCCAGGGAACUGAAACAUCUAAGUACCUGGAGGAAGAGAAAACAAUAGUGAUUCCCGUAGUAGCGGCGAGCGAAGUGGGAAUAGCCCAAAAUCAUACGGUUUCGGCCGUUUGGUGGUUGUAGGACUGCAAUGUGAAUAUAAAUUUGAAGUAGAAUUUUCUGGAAAGUUAAACCAUAGCGGGUGAUAGUCCCGUAUACGAAUC
rnacentral:rRNA from 1 species